rnacentral:rRNA from 1 species
GACGAACCGUGCAAACGUUGUUCGGAAUCAUCGUGGCUUAAAGGGCGCGUAGGCGGGUUCGCAAGUCUGUGGUGAAAGCCUCCAGCUUAACUGGAGAAGUGCCGUGGAUACUGCGAAUCUUGAGGAGGGUAGGGGCAUCUGGAACGGUCGGUGGAGCGGUGAAAUGCGUUGAUAUCGACCGGAACUCCGGUGGCGAAGGCGAGGUGCUGGACCUUCUGACGCU